UUGUUCGCCCUAAAAGAUCCGAUAUAAAGCUUGUGCCGUCGCUGUAUCUCCGUUUCCUUCUGCUUUCUCUCUUUCUCAGGCGUUUCAAUCUCCAUAAUAAACGAGGUCGGUGGUUUAGAUAUCUCUCUCUCGCUAAAUCUCAUCCGAGAGGUUUCCCGUUAAAGACCCAAGUUGGAUUUGUUUUUUGUCCCAGUUUUGGUCCUAUAAAUAAGAAGAACGAGAUGAGUAACAAAAAGGCGAGGAAGCUGUCAGAAACAUGGGUGUUCUGGGACAUCAACAGCUUUCCGGUUCCCAAAGAUUGUGAUGCUCGUCUUGUCUGUUCGUCAAUAGAAUCAGCCUUGAAGAAGGCAGGCCACUGUGUAGAUGAUCUCACCAUCACUGCCAUUGGCAACCUCAAUCACACCUCACAACUGUACCCUGAUGUACUUCCGGCCAUAUUUUCCACUGGAGUUCGUCUUUGUCACUUCCCCGCGGUUUCGGGUGCCUUUUUGGUGAUUUUAUUUUGUUCCCGCCGAGCAAUCCAUUGACGGUUACAUUCAUAAUCUUAUCCCAUGAGAAUUUUUACUCACUACUCAAUCUACGAGAGGAGGGAUAUUCAGUAAUCGAUUCUGAAUCGCUUCCCUGGGAAAUUUUAAUUAAAGAUGCAGUGGAUUUAGAAGAGACAAGAAGACAUGCACAUCGAGUGAAAUACUCUGAAUCUAGCUGGUUUUGCACAUUAUGCGGAGAUGGUGUUGUACCCAGAAUAAUGCCAUGCCGUAUGUAUCAUGGCGAAAGUUCUGAAGGCAAAAUCUUUGACGGUUUUACUAAGCAUAUCAAAGAGUAGAGAUCAUGCGGAACAUGAGAUGGAGAGGGUGAGAUAUCCUUUAAGCAUUGAUAUGGAGCGUCUUUAUGCUAAAUUAGGUAGAGGAAAAACUGAAGAUGGUGGAGAAGAAGAGGGAGAAGAAGAAGAAGAAGAAGAAGAAGAUUAUUAUGCUGAUUAUGAGUGGGAUCACCUCUCCGUCUAGAGAUAAUAAUCUAUAGAUCACUUGCAUAGGAUGCCCCAAAGGGUGCGGGGGUGUUGUUCUUUAUCGCAUUUCAUAAUUUGUGUGGUUUAUUCACACUAAUACUAGAGACUUGCUUAUUUUCAUCUCUUUUUUUUUGUCAACUUGUUUCCAUUACGGUUUCUAACUCCAGUAGAAUUAUUAUUGUAUUUUCAGCGA